rnacentral:rRNA from 1 species
CCUACCGGGAGGCAGCAGUGGGGAAUAUUGCACAAUGGGGGAAACCCUGAUGCAGCAACGCCGCGUGAAGGAAGACGGUCUUCGGAUUGUAAACUUCUGUUCUUAGUGAAGAAUACUGACGGUAGCUAAGGAGCAAGCCAUGGCUAACUAAGUGCCAGCAGCCGCGGUCAUACGUAGGUGGCAAGCGUUGUCCGGAAUUACUGGGUGUAAAGGGAGCGCAGGCGGGAAGCCAAGUCAGCUGUGAAAACUACGGGCUUAACUUGUAGACUGCAGUUGAAACUGGUGUUCUUGAGUGAAGUAGAGGUUGGCGGAAUGCCGGGUGUAGCGGUGAAAUGCGUAGAUAUUCGGAGGAACACCGAUGGUGAAGGCGGCCAACUGGGCUUUAACUGACGCUGAGGCUCGAAAGUGUGGGGAGCAAACAGGAUUAGAUACCCUGGUAGUC